UUUGCAUAUUGUCCCCUAGGGAGGACCUUCCCUUGCCAGUCUGAGAUAAAAGAUCAACUCUCCACUUGUCUUUACCGACCAGGACUCAUCCCUUUCACUUGUCAGAAUGAGGUUCCCUGCUCAGCUCCUGGGGCUACUCAUGCUCUGGUUUCCAGGAUCCACUGGGGAUAUUGUGAUGACACAGACCCCAGUGUCCCUGCCCGUCACCCUUGGAGAGCCGGCCUCCAUCUCCUGCAAGGCCAGUCAGAGCCUCCUGCACAGUAAUGGAUAUAAUUACUUGUAUUGGUUCCGGCAGAAACCGGGCCAUUCUCCACAGCCCCUGAUCUAUGCAGCUUCUAACCGUUUCACUGGGGUCCCAGACAGGUUCAGUGGCAGUGGGUCAGGGACAGAUUUCACCCUCAAAAUCAGCAGGGUGGAGGCUGACGAUGUGGGAGUGUAUUACUGCGAGCAAGCUAUACAGUAUCCUCGCACAGUGGUUCAGGCCCGAACACAAACCUCCCCGCCUGGGGGUCCAGCUGCCCCAGUGAGGAGCUUCUCUGGGGACUCACAGGACACUCUCUGAGUCUGUGUCAGAGGA